AUGGCUCUAAUUCAGGGCAGUAGGGGACCAGAUGGAGAGAAGGGUGACAGAGGACCCAAGGGGAAAAAGGGACCAAAAGGAGCACCAGGGAUCAUGGGUCCUCAGGGUGAGAGGGGCCAGCCAGGUCUCCACGGCUUACCUGGUGUUAAAGGUCAGCCAGGUGCUCCAGGUCUCCAGGGUAUAGAUGGUGAAGUGGGUCCUCAGGGAACACUUGGAAAAGAGGGUCAAAAGGUCAGAGUGCUUUAUGACUUUCAGGUGGAGCAAUCACCAAAACUUUCUAAUAGCUCACCCUUUUAUAUCAGUCCACCUGUGAUUGCUCCUCUUAAAACACAAUGCUGCCCAAAGGCCCUUUCACGCUGUCCUAUUAAUAUAUGCACCUACUGUAAAUCAGUAACAUCUCUUCCUUUCGUUUUAUUUUUUUUAUUUUUGAAACAAAGGGCAGUAGGGGUGAACCUGGGGAUAAUGGAAGAACAGGACUCAGAGGAUCAAGAGUAAAUUUACUAUUUGUUUCAUAUAAAAGUCUGAAAAAUCCUGAGACCACCAGUGAAAAUGUAUCUAAAAUCCAUCUAAUAUUAUUUUUUAUAAAAAA
ensembl:lncRNA